CUGCUCAAUGAUUUUUUAAAUUGCUGUGGUAUUUUGACUAUACAAAGGUAUUGAAAUAAGAUUUUAAUUGAAUGCUAAGAGAACGGAAUAACGAAAAAAAUCUUUCUUAAAUUUAAAAAUUAAAGUUAUUUUUGUUUGUGAGGAAACAACAAUUAAAAUUAAAGACAAGAAGACCCUAAGAAUUUUUAAUUCUUUUUAGAAAUUAAAGAAAGAAUUUUAAUUGGGGCGAUUAAGAAAAAUUUUGAACUUUUUUUGGUAAAAAUAUGAACCAAUAUUAUUGGUUAAAUGAAUAAAAAUACUCUAGGGAUAACAGCGUAAUAAUUUUUGACAGUUCUUAUAGACAAAAUAGUUUGCGACCUCGAUGUUGGAUUAGGAUACUUGUUUAAUGAAGAAGUUAAAUAAAGAAGUUUGUUCAACUUUUAAAAUCCUACUUGAUCUGAGUUCAGACCGG
rnacentral:rRNA from 1 species